UACGUAGGGUGCAAGCGUUGUCCGGAAUUAUUGGGCGUAAAGAGCUCGUAGGCGGUCUGUCGCGUCUGCUGUGAAAUCUCAGGGCUUAACCCUGAGCGUGCAGUGGGUACGGGCAGACUAGAGUGCGGUAGGGGAGACUGGAAUUCCUGGUGUAGCGGUGAAAUGCGCAGAUAUCAGGAGGAACACCGGUGGCGAAGGCGGGUCUCUGGGCCGUAACUGACGCUGAGGAGCGAAAGCAUGGGGAGCGAACAGG
rnacentral:rRNA from 1 species